rnacentral:rRNA from 1 species
UACGAAGGGGACUAGCGUUGUUCGGAAUCACUGGGCGUAAAGCGCACGUAGGCGGAUCUUUAAGUCAGGGGUGAAAUCCCGAGGCUCAACCUCGGAACUGCCUUUGAUACUGGGGAUCUCGAGUCCGGGAGAGGUGAGUGGAACUGCGAGUGUAGAGGUGAAAUUCGUAGAUAUUCGCAAGAACACCAGUGGCGAAGGCGGCUCACUGGCCCGGAACUGACGCUGAGGUGCGAAAGCGUGGGGAGCAAACAGG